ACAGAAACCUGUUCACCAGCUCUGUGCUGUUGUUGCUAGUUCAUUGUUUUCUGAUAAAUUCCAGGGAAUCAGAAAGAUGAAAUUUCCAUUGGAAGAAGAGUGGAUGUGCCCCGUAAACAUUGGGAGUCACUGGAUUUUAGUGAUCGUCAACAUGUCUGACAAGGUCCUUCUGCUGAUAGAUCCAUUGGCAAACGAAGGUGCCUAUGAGCGAAAAUUACUUCGGAACUGGAGGAAUUUCUUGAAGAAGAGAGGCUGUGGUGAACAGGGAGAAAAUUGGAUGGUUCACACAAUGCAGCACAACAAGC